AUUCGUCCUGUGCUGAUAUAUGCUUGUGAAGUCUUUGAUUUAUAAUUUCAGUUCACAAAAGAAAUUAAACCUAUCCUUGGAAAAAAAAGAACAAUGAAGAUUAUCCAUGGCUUUAUGACACACCGUAUGAUGUUGCCCUUAAUCUAAAUCUGAAUCUAUCGAAUCUGCAAAGAUUGUCAGUAUAUCGGGACAAACUUUGUGAUGAUUUUCUGCUUAAAGAUUUCCGGCCCGUCAAUACAGAAGAUAAACUGUUUUAAUAGUUACCACAUAAUAUCAAUAGGGACUUACCCUUAAAAAACAACAAGGUGAAUUUACUGUCCCUAGCUAAAUGUAUUAAUACAGACCGUUUCAAAAAUUCUUUUAUAAGGGGCGGACCAUUAGAAAAGUGACGGAGGGUGGGGAGGGGGAAAAGCAAAAUUAAAAAUCGUGCAGGG